GGUCUGUCUGUUGGGUGCUCUGAUAUUCCCUGCCGUGUACAAUGCAUCUGUGCUACUCAUGCUUCUGUUAGUUGUCAUGGAUUUUCGCUCUUCGCCAACCCUCUCCUCUGUCCUUCCUCAAAUUUCUCGUCUCUCAACUUCACUACCUUCGUGAAGCGUUUCACAUGCUCUUGGUUGGAAGAUUGAAGGCUUACGUGUGUGUGUUUUUUUUUUUUCUAAUUUUUGGCAGUUUCUUUCUUGUGCAUGAAAGGGGAGAUUAAGAUGAUGAUUUAUUCAAGUAAUCAGAACUCCUCCGGGGAGUUUGUUGGACUUUUCAGUUUUUGAGGUUUGAUUGGAUCUCGAUUGGAUCACUUAAAUCGUGAUUCUCUACAAACCGUUUGUUAGAAUGCUCAGUGGGUAGUCCACCAUAGCAUUCAGAAAGCACUAGAAUUGAGAAUCCUCAACUCCCAUAGAGUCAUUCGCGUUCUUUAAGCUUGUCGCACACCACAUAAGAGAACUGUGCCUAAUCAUCUGCAUUGCGCAGGUGAUUUUCUGAGUUGUGUAUGAUAGUGACCAGUUCUUGCAUUGCAUUUUUUCGGAUCUGUACAUUGUCAAGACGAGUCAAGCUUGAAAAAGGACGGAUUCUCAGAAGGCACCGGGUGUAUCAAGCAUGAAUGGUGGUGUACAGGAACACUACUUAACCAAUUUCGGCCCACAAACCCUAAACAGAUGUCAGGGAUGGUGUGUCGAUUCUUAGCCUCUGGGUGAUACAGUUUUGUGAACCCUUGCCAAGGAAUUUUAACAGCAAGAAUGUUGACGUUAAAUCUUGCUGGACACUGGACAAAGAAACAUAUCAAAUAAGUUUUUUCUGCUGAUCAAGUUUUACUACGUAAUUCAAGUUGUUGGAUAGAUGUUUUUGAGAGGAAUGGGUAGUUUAUUUUCUCCCAGAAUUACUGUUUUACUGUAGAUCCUUUGAAUAUGCAGAAACUGGACGAAAAUGUCGACUAUAAACGUGUAUUCAAUUUGAUGGAUAACUCUUCUUGAGAUGCUGCCAGGAGUAUAGAAAAGUUGAUUUAGGAUACACUUCAAGUUCUACAUUGUUUUAUACAUAUGUGUUCAAUUAAGAAAGUCAACCUUGAUAGAUUUAUCAACUGAUAUUAAUUUAGUUGUAAUUCAAAGAAUUUAAUAAAAUGCACAACAUUAGAACAUCGACUUAA